AAACGGAUCGCCCCUCCUGGGGCUCCUUGCUUGGCUAGCUGUGUCCGCCUCUCCUUCGUCCUCAGCUGGAACGGACAGAAAUUUCUAGGACAAGUUUUUCCUUUCUUGUCUCAGUUCCUCUCCUGUGAGCUGCGGGGAAGGGCGGAGAUGAAGGACUCAUGAGAUGUAAUCUAUCUGGCUGGCGCGGACAAGGGUGUAAAACCCCAACAAACCUGUAAUCCCCCUUUCUAGGUGGGGUGCGAGGACACGUAUAGAAACCCCCCCGAUCUCAGUGCCAGGGGGGCAGGCAGGGGCUGGGGAUGCUCGUGCUGAGAGCAAUGGAGAGGGCGGCAAUGGAAGGAACUACGCUGUUGUCAGCAGCUGCUGUCAGAGCUCCGGGGCGGAUCUGUUUCCGGUGCUGGUCCCGCUGCUGCCCGGGACUCGGCUCUCGGACCCACCCACCGAGGCUGUGUGUCAGAUCUUUAAACCGUUAUCUGCUAACAGCUUGAAACGUGUACGUGGUGGGCGUGAGAUUCAUACGUUCAGAUGCGCACACACUUCAGAGCUUGCAUGCAUGCCUGUUUGUCUAUUGUGUGUAUCUUGUUGACUACUACGUGUCCAUACUUCAACGGGCCGCUUUGCAUAUACAGUGGAGUCGCAUCAUACGUGCAUUUAACUUACGCGAAUUUAACUAUACGCGCUCGGCAAAAAAAAAAGGGGAAAAAAGAAAAAAUAAUGAUUCUGCCCACCAUUCCACUCAAUGAGCAUAUUCCCCGGAGUGAGCGUGAGAUGGGAGACGUGAAUCUGCUGUUCCCUCGGUCGGUCUCAGUUCCCGCGUGCCUCUCAUAGUGUGAGCAUCUCGCCGCGCUGCAUAUCAGUGGUGGAUGUAGCUGUAGGUCUGACUCAUCUGUAUAGCACUUUGGGCUGAGGGGAUGGGAUUUGAUUAUCACAGCAGCCACUGACCAUUUUAAAAACAAGACUGGAUGUUUUUCUAGGAAUUAUUUGUGGACGUUCUAUGGCCUGUGUUGUACAGAUCACAAUGGUGCCUUCUGGUCUCACAGUCUAUGAAUCUUUGACAGCAUGGAUUCCCGCUCGUCCAGAGAAACUGCCGAAGAAGAUGGAGGCAGAGCUGAGAAUCUGCUGCUGAUCGGAACCGGCUUUGCUUUGAGGCCAUGUGGACCCACACUUGAACCGCUUCAGUUGAACUGCUGCAAGCGUGUGUGUGGACACUCUUAUUUCAGUUUAGCUUAAACCUCUUCCUAGAGGACUUGGAGCUAAAUCGCAAUCAGUCUGGUUAAAACGGGAACACACGCACGUUCACUGGCUGAGCACCAUGCCUUUAAACUAAACCGGUGCGUAACUGAAUAUACAUGGAUCCUGAAUCGCAGAGAGCUGCAGCCAGUGAGAUAGAGCUGCUCGGAGUCCAGCAUGCCCCCCAGGGACUCCAAGAGAGAGGAGAGAUGGAGGAGCGCUUUGACUGCAGUGGAGGUGCGGAGAGAGGCCCUGGGUCUAACCACACGCUCAGGAAAUGGGCUUCCCGUCAAGUCCUAGUCCCAGCUGUCGUCCUCGCUGCAGUCACAGUUUUUAUGUUGAUCACCAUCAUCACUAUCGCUGCUUUAGCAGAACUGUUAAGAGGUAAUUGCAUGGCCCAGCCAGUCUCUGCUCCCCCUGGAGCUGUCGCAGCCACAGAAUCUCUCCUCCCCGUCCCCUUUGGCUUCGGCAAUCAGGCGAGAAAGGAGUUUGUCUAAAGGCGUAUGCAGCCCCUGUUACCUUAGUAGCUGGAGAUCUGUGAGGCACAGAGGGAUUGUUAUCUCUGUUUUCUGGAUGGGGAAACCGAGGCCCAGAGAGAUCAAGUGGGGGUGUUUUCAAGGUGCUAAAACUUCCUACACCUCAGAGCUUCCCAGCUCCCCAGACACAUAUUGCAUGUCUAGAGUAAAGUGCACAUGGAACUGUAGGAUCAGCAGUGCUAAAAGGGCACAUUAUUGACAGA